AGCGGAGGGAUCAUUACUGAGUUUACGCUCUACAACCCUUUGUGAACAUACCUAUAACUGUUGCUUCGGCGGGUAGGGUCUCCGUGACCCUCCCGGCCUCCCGCCCCCGGGCGGGUCGGCGCCCGCCGGAGGAUAACCAAACUCUGAUUUAACGACGUUUCUUCUGAGUGGUACAAGCAAAUAAUCAAAACUUUUAACAACGGAUCUCUUGGUUCUGGCAUCGAUGAAGAACGCAGCGAAAUGCGAUAAGUAAUGUGAAUUGCAGAAUUCAGUGAAUCAUCGAAUCUUUGAACGCACAUUGCGCCCGCCAGCAUUCUGGCGGGCAUGCCUGUUCGAGCGUCAUUUCAACCCUCAAGCUCUGCUUGGUGUUGGGGCCCUACAGCUGAUGUAGGCCCUCAAAGGUAGUGGCGGACCCUCCCGGAGCCUCCUUUGCGUAGUAACUUUACGUCUCGCACUGGGAUCCGGAGGGACUCUUGCCGUAAAACCCCCCAAUUUUCCAAAGGUGA
rnacentral:rRNA from 1 species